rnacentral:misc_RNA from 1 species
GCAUCUGAGAUGGCAACG